GAACGUACGCUGGCGGCACGCCUAACACAUGCAAGUCGAACGAAGUAGCAAUACUUAGUGGCAGACGGGUGAGUAACAUGUAGGUAUCUGCCCUUUGGCCUGGAAUAACACGAGGAAACUUGUGCUAAUACCGGAUAAGUCUUUACGGAGAAAGCUUUAUGCACCAUUGGAUGAGCCUGCACUUGAUUAGUUUGUUGGUGGGGUAAUAGCCUACCAAGACUGUGAUCAAUAGCUGAUUUGAGAGGAUGAUCAGCCACAUUGGGACUGAGACACGGCCCAAACUCCUACGGGAGGCAGCAGUGGGGAAUCUUGCACAAUGGAGGAAACUCUGAUGCAGCGAUGCCGCGUGAGUGAAGAAGGCCUUUGGGUUGUAAAGCUCUUUCGUCGGGGAAGAAAAUGACUGUACCCGAAUAAGAAGGUCCGGCUAACUUCGUGCCAGCAGCCGCGGUAAUACGAAGGGACCUAGCGUAGUUCGGAAUUACUGGGCUUAAAGAGUUCGUAGGUGGUUGAAAAAGUUAGUGGUGAAAUCCCAGAGCUUAACUCUGGAACUGCCAUUAAAACUUUUCAGCUAGAGUAUGAUAGAGGAAAGCAGAAUUUCUAGUGUAGAGGUGAAAUUCGUAGAUAUUAGAAAGAAUACCAAUUGCGAAAGGCAGCUUUCUGGAUCAUUACUGACACUGAGGAACGAAAGCAUGGGUAGCGAAGAGGAUUAGAUACCCUCGUAGUCCAUGCCGUAAACGAUGUGUGUUAGACGUUGGAAAUUUAUUUUCAGUGUCGCAGCGAAAGCGAUAAACACACCGCCUGGGGAGUACGACCGCAAGGUUAAAACUCAAAUGAAUUGACGGGGACCCGCACAAGUAGUGGAGCAUGUGGUUUAAUUCGAAGAUACGCGCAGAACCUUACCAACACUUGACAUGUUCGUCGCGACUCUAAGAGAUUAGAGUUUUCGGUUCGGCCGGACGAAACACAGGUGCUGCAUGGCUGUCGUCAGCUCGUGUCGUGAGAUGUUGGGUUAAGUCCCGCAACGAGCGCAACCCUCACUUUUAGUUGCCAUCAUUAAGUUGGGCACUCUGAAAGAACUGCCAGUGAUAAGCUGGAGGAAGGUGGGGAUGACGUCAAGUCCUCAUGGCCCUUACGUGUUGGGCUACACACGUGCUACAAUGGUAUCUACAACAGGAAGCAAGACUGCGAAGUUAAGCAAAUCCCUAAAAGAUACCUCAGUUCGGACUGCACUCUGCAACUCGAGUGCAUGAAGCUGGAAUUACUAGUAAUCGUGGAUCAGCGUGCCACGGUGAAUGCGUUCCCGGGUCUUGUACACACCG
rnacentral:rRNA from 1 species